ACGCGAGGAACCUUACCAGGUCUUGACAUCCCGCUGACCGUCCUGGAGACAGGAUUUUCCCUUCGGGGACAGCGGUGACAGGUGGUGCAUGGUUGUCGUCAGCUCGUGUCGUGAGAUGUUGGGUUAAGUCCCGCAACGAGCGCAACCCUUGAUCUUAGUUGCCAGCAUUUAGUUGGGCACUCUAAGGUGACUGCCGGUGACAAACCGGAGGAAGGUGGGGAUGACGUCAAAUCAUCAUGCCCCUUAUGACCUGGGCUACACACGUGCUACAAUGGAUGGUACAAAGGGCUGCAAGACCGCGAGGUUUAGCCAAUCCCAUAAAACCAUUCUCAGUUCGGAUUGCAGGCUGCAACUCGCCUGCAUGAAGCUGGAAUCGCUAGUAAUCGCGGAUCAGCAUGCCGCGGUGAAUACGUUCCCGGGCCUUGCACUCACCGCCCGU
rnacentral:rRNA from 1 species